rnacentral:rRNA from 1 species
GACGAACGCUGGCGGCGUGCCUAAUACAUGCAAGUCGAGCGGACCAAAGGGAGCUUGCUCCUGGAGGUCAGCGGCGAACGGGUGAGUAACACGUGGGCAACCUGCCUGUAAGACUGGGAUAACAUCGAGAAAUCGGUGCUAAUACCGGAUAAUAAAAAGAACUGCAUGGUUCUUUUUGAAAGAUGGUUUCGGCUAUCACUUACAGAUGGGCCCGCGGCGCAUUAGCUAGUUGGUGAGGUAACGGCUCACCAAGGCGACGAUGCGUAGCCGACCUGAGAGGGUGAUCGGCCACACUGGGACUGAGACACGGCCCAGACUCCUACGGGAGGCAGCAGUAGGGAAUCUUCCGCAAUGGACGAAAAGUCUGACGGAGCAACGCCGCGUGAGUGAUGAAGGUUUUCGGAUCGUAAAACUCUGUUGUUAGGAAGAACAAGUGCCGUUCGAAAGGGCGGCACUUUGACGGUACCUAACGAGAAAGCCACGGCUAACUACGUGCCAGCAGCCGACGG